UAAUACGUAGGGGGCGAGCGUUGUCCGGAAUUAUUGGGCGUAAAGCGCGCGUAGGCGGUUUCUUAAGUCUGGUGUUUAAGUGCGGGGCUCAACCCCGUGUCGCAUUGGAAACUGGGGAACUGGAGUGCAGAAGAGGAGAGCGGAAUUCCACGUGUAGCGGUGAAAUGCGUAGAGAUGUGGAGGAACACCAGUGGCGAAGGCGGCUCUCUGGUCUGUAACUGACGCUGAGGCGCGAAAGCGUGGGGAGCAAACAGGAUUAGAUACCCUGGUAGUCCACGCCGUAAACGAUGAGUGCUAGGUGUCGGGGGGGUCCACCCCUCGGUGCCGAAGUCAACACAUUAAGCACUCCGCCUGGGGAGUACGGUCGCAAGACUGAA
rnacentral:rRNA from 1 species